rnacentral:rRNA from 1 species
UACGUAGGGGGGCAAGCGUUGUCCGGAAUUAUUGGGCGUAAAGGGCGCGUAGGCGGUCCGGCGCGUCCGGGGUGAAAGCCUCCAGCUCAACUGGAGAAGUGCCCCGGAUACGGCCGGACUCGAGUGGGGUAGGGGCGUGUGGAACUUCCGGUGGAGCGGUGAAAUGCGUAGAUAUCGGAAGGAACGCCGGUGGCGAAAGCGGCACGCUGGACCCCUUCUGACGCUGAGGCGCGAAAGCCAGGGGAGCGAACGGG